rnacentral:rRNA from 1 species
CCUACGGGGGGCAGCAGUGAGGAAUAUUGGUCAAUGGGCGGGAGCCUGAACCAGCCAAGUCGCGUGAGGGAUGACGGUCCUACGGAUUGUAAACCUCUUUUGCCGGGGAGCAAGCGUGCGUUCGUGAACGCGCGUCGAGAGUACCCGAAGAAAAAGCAUCGGCUAACUCCGUGCCAGCAGCCGCGGUAAUACGGAGGAUGCGAGCGUUAUCCGGAUUUAUUGGGUUUAAAGGGUGCGCAGGCGGAGGUGCAAGUCAGUGGUCAAAUUGCGGGGCUCAACCCCGUACUGCCGUUGAAACUGCAUCC